rnacentral:tRNA from 1 species
UCCUAGCUGGCUCAGUCAGUAAAGCAUGUGAUUCUUGAUCUCAGGGUUGUGAGUUCAAGCCCCAUGUUGGGUG